rnacentral:lncRNA from 1 species
GUCAAAGAAGAGAGGGGGUCUGUCAUUACCGAACAUAAAACAUUACAGUGUUGCCUUUGAGAUGUCCAAGCUCACAAAACACUGGGAUGAAACCGGUGCUGGUCUGGGCUGGGUCCUGUUUGAGCGGGAACUCACGUCCCUCUUUAAACCCAUUGAGGUUCUUGCACAUAUAGUCAAACAUGAGAAAAAUAAAACGAUCAACCCUAUUUUAGAACAUUGGAAAAUGGUUUGGCAAGAGGUACAUAAGAGAUGUAAAAUCUCUCAGUAUACUCAAAAAUAUGCACCCAUAUGGCAUAAUCCAAAAAUAAAGAUAGACAGACAGACUAUCUAUUGGGUUCAAUGGUUAAGAAAAGAUAUUAGAAUAUGGGAUGAUCUAUUUGAAAAUGGUAAUUUUCUUUCAUAUAUCAGAUUUAAGGAAAAGUUUCACUUAGAGGGCAACGGCCACUUUUGGAAAUAUUUACAAAUUAGACACUACAUUAAAGAGGUUGUUCCCGCUGGUCCAGUUGAGUGUUAUUUACAACUACCUAAAAUGCAUCAUAAAGCAUCAAAAUGGUAUGAAAUGUGUCCUUGGACAAACAGUAAUGGUUGUGGUAAUCUCAAGCGGAUAUGGGAGAAGGAUUUGUCUUGCACGUUGGAUGAAAAAACAUGGGAGGGGAUUCUUUCCAACACUGAAAACUACAUAAGAGAAGCCAGAGGUAAAUGUAUUCAGUAUAAAAAAAUUCAUAGAUAUUAUUUCACUCCAUCAAGACUUAAUAGAAUGGGUUUACUUAACAAUGAUCUAUGCUGGAAAUGUGGGGAAAUAAGUGGCACAUUUGUACAUGCAUUAUGGGAAUGUUCUAAGAUCUUCCCUUUGUGGGAAAAUGUAAUAGAUUAUAUGGGCAAAUGGCUGAAUUGUGAACUUCCCAGAUCACCAAGACUAUGUCUCCUUGGAGACAGAACUAUGGUAUCACACUUAAACAAACAUAUUUUUGGAAUCUUGAAAACUAGCCUUAUCACUUGUGCACGAAUAAUCUUAAGGUGUUGGAAGGAACCUCAAGCCCCCACGCUGAAUAUGUGGAGAACUCAGAUGAUGGAAACUGUUGCAUAUGAGAAAAUGCUGGGGAGAUUAAACAGUGAAAAUUACAUGACAAACGAACAGUGGGACAGUUUUGGCAAAUAUAUAUCAAGAGAGAACAGCUAAACCAUGUAUAGAUAUUCCUUAUUGUCUGGUAUGGAUAUGUAUUACAUUAAGGCCAUACACUCUACCUGAAUAAUGGACUGCCCCUCGCAUCCGAAUAUAUGCUGUUAUUUAUUGAAUCGCCUAUUUACCUGCCUAUGUCUUGUUUCUUUUGUCUGUUUUUUAUUUUUCGUUUUCAUUACCUCCAUUCUGUGUGGUUUACCUGUUCGUAUGUAUGGUUGUCUGUUUCAUGUUUAUAAUUAUGGAAAAUAAUAAAAAACUUUUUUUAAAAAAAACAAAAAAAAAGUUUCAAAUAAGCAGUGGUUUGAACAAACGUACUUUGCUUAAAUUAAAGGGAUAUUCCGGCCUAAGUUUAAUCCAUUGUCUUAGACACAGUGACACCGAGUAAGACCCCCCCCC